UUCUCUCUCACUCUGAAAUGUGAAACUGUUCCAUUGUGUUGUUUCAAUGCGAAGGAAAUUGGGUAAAAUCGGAGUAAAUCAGAUUGCGAAAAAUUGUGACAAAUGACCAGGGGACCGGUCAGUAAUUCCACAGGGACGAGGGUUCUGUGGUUCUUUCUGAUGGGAUUUGGAGACUCCAUCAGAUCAUGAACAACAGCCAUUCGUUUAGUUGUAGUAAAUCACAGGAUUGGCCAUGUUUCUCGCUCCCUGUGACACGUCCAUUGACAUUAUUCCUUCUCAAUGUUAAUGACAACUAGACCAACACAAACUGUAAGCGGGUGUGUAGGAACUUCCCACCAUUUUCCCAUUGACAUGAGAGUGUAAGCUGUCUUUCCCAGUGAGAGCUUUAGAAAUGCGGCUGUGAGAUUGGCCUCCUCUGCCCUUCCCUGUGACAGACUAUCUCCAUCUCUCCACCUGUGUGACUUUUCUCAAUCGCCAGUACCCAGGCACUAUGUGGGCAUCUUUUCUCCCGAUUGUGGACCUCAGUUUAGACCAACCUCUCCCAUGGAUCUAUGUCUGCAUCAGCUCCUCUUGUAGGAGCAUCUUUUCUCAACACUAUACUCCUGUGGGAUCUCUGUGCACACUUCCAUUCCCACUGUUGGACCUCUCUGCGGAAGUCUCAUUCCUACUGUGUGUUCAUUUCUCCCCAUCCUUCUGUCGGGUCUCUCUUCCCCACUCCAUUUCCCCCAUGGGGGCUUCUCUUCCCACAGCCUGUGGAAUCUCUCUUCCACAUCCCCAUUCCUGCUGUGGGUUCUCUCUUCCCAGUCCUCCUUCCCCCUAUGAGAUCUCUCUUCCCCACCCCUUUCCUGUUGUCAGCUCUCUUCCCCGUCCUCCUCCCCUUGUGAUAUCUCUAAUCUCCACCCCCAUUACCCUUGUGGGAACUCUUCUCGAAUCCCCUUCCUCCGGUGGGAUCUCAAUUCCCUCUCGCCAUUCGUUCUUUUGGAUCUGUCUUCCCCAUCUCGUUCCUCCAGUGGGAUCUUUAUUCCCUAACUCCUUCUUCCUGUCGGGAUCACUUCCCCACCCCCUUUCCUCUGUCGGCUUCUCCCUUGCUCAUUCCAUUCAUCCUGUGGGGAUCACUUCCCCAUCCCCCUUCCUCUGUCGGGUUCUCCCUUGCUCAUUCCAUUUCUCCUGUCGGGAUCACUUCCCCAUCCCCUGUCGGGUUCUCCCUUGCUCAUUCCCUUCCUCCUGUGAGGUUCUCUCUUGCCCAUCCCCAUCUCUCCAAAAGGAAUCUCUCUUCCGCAUUCCGCUUUCUCCUCUGGAGUCCUUCUACCCCAUUUCCAUUCCUGCUAUGUGGAAUCACUCUUCCCCACACCCUUCAUCCUGUGGGAUCUCUCUUCCCCAUCUCCCUUCUUCCUCUCAGAAUCACUUUUCCUCAUUCCCCAUCGCCCUGUGGGGAUCCCUGUUCCUUGUUCCCCUUCCUCCUGUGGGGAUCAUUUUUCCCAUCACUUUUCCUGUGUUGCGGGUCUCUGCGCGCAUCUCCCAUGGAGAUUUUCCCACCCACAAUUCUUCCUUUCAGUGGGACGAUCUCUCACCCUUCAACCCUGCCCCUUCCGACAUUCUCACAUCAGGAACACUAUUCUAACUGUUGGGGAACGAGACAGAAUAUGGGAAAUUACAGUCACAUUGACAGUAAAUUACUGACAUUCAGUAGUGAAAUUUGACAGUGGUGGGAAUCCCAAUCAGUGAUAUACUGAAGCAUUUCAUUUUUCCAGAAAUAUCCGAAUGACAGAUAUUCCCUCAUACCCAUGGUUUCAAUCUAUUUGUUCAUUAGUUUUCUCUUUGUGUUUAGACUUGGGAGUAAUGACCUGGGAGAUUCAGGAGUGAAACUGGUGUCUGCGGCUCUGAGGAACCCAGAGUGUAAAAUACAGAAACUGCGGCUGAACGAUGUUGGCCUCACAGGUUCUGGUGCCGAGGAUCUCGCCUCCACUCUCAGUGCAAAC